UUGGGUACAUAGUUUAACCUCUUAGGAUGCU
rnacentral:piRNA from 1 species